GAGGGUAUAGCUCAGUGGUGGAGCGCACGCUUAGCAAGCACGCAAUCAGGGUUUGAUUCCCAGUACUCUGA
rnacentral:tRNA from 1 species